rnacentral:lncRNA from 10 species
AAUUCAUCAACCCUGAUCCCAUAUCAGGGACGUGUCCUCCUGGAAAUGAUCCUCCUGUUCGCUGCAAUGCCCUACGAGCAUUUUCUCCAUCAGGAUCCUAUAACACACAUUGAAUGUUAAAUUCCACUAAAUACAUCACUAAUUCUACAAAAUUAAAAUAACAAUUUAAAUUCUACAGUAGCUAUCCUGUCUGGCUCAAAUUAUUGACCCUCUUGAAGAGUGAGCUUUUUUCUCAUCCAGAGAAUUGAGUCCCAUAAAAACCUGUGGAUAAACAAAAUAUUUCAGCCUCCAGAGAUGUCAGUUAAUUUUUUUUUCCAAUCACUAAAGCCACUUAAGAACUUGAAAUUAGUUUAAUUUUGCUCUCACACUAGGGUACAUGCAUACAUACAUGUAACUCAAAGAAGAGCGAAGUACUCACUGCAACUUUUCUUUCCAAAAUGUAGGAAUGGUCAUUUCUCACUAUUGGAUGCCCAAUGGAAUGCCAAAUUCAGACUAAUUCAAAGCUUUUCAAUACUGGAACAGACUGUUAUAAAACCCAAAUACUGGGGUAGAGGAUAGGAUGGCCGACUGUAAUCUGUAAAUUUUAUUCCUGAACAAAAUACAGUUACCCACCUUCUAAACUCUUACCUUCUUCAACAAUGAUUAUAAUCUGAGAUGGAGGAGAGGAGAGAUAAAGGAGGGCUAAAUGUCCAAGUGAGAAAUGAUAUUAAACAUUGUUUUUUUGUUAGGUUCAUUAAUUUUUUAAGAGAAACACCCUACCUUUAAACAAAACCAAACAUACACACACACACACACACACACACACACACACAAACAUAAAUGUACUUCUCACUCAUCCCACUAGGUGGAAUACUAAAAAACAAAAAUAAAUAAACAAAAACCACAUAAACACAUGGAUAGACUAUCAUCUGCAAUGCCAAAUGAUUAUGUUAAAGGUAAUCACCCCAUCAUCACUUCUCUAUCUUUAGGCUAAGAUGAAGUGUAAAGGUAACCAUCAAAUCUACUUUGCUGGCCUCAGUCUGGGAAUACAGUACUAAUAAAAAGAAAGUCAAGUGAUUUUAAUAAAUUCUCUAGGAUGGCUGGAGAAUAAAAGGUGAAAAGGUAAAAUAAUAAAACCAUUCUGGCUUGCAACAUAUUUCUUCACUAUGAAGGAAUAAAAAGGAUUACAAAAGAAAAAAAAAAUGUAUCAAAGAAUGCUUCAAAACAUAUAAGUUAAUAAAUAAAUUCUUUAGGCCUGAGGAUUCAAAAAGAGGUAAAAAUACGAAAUUUAGGACAGUGGCUACCUAUGGGGAAGAAAGAUAACUCAGAAGAGAAGAUAUUUCUUCAACUAGUAUAGUAAGCUAUUUCGGUUGUUUGUGCUUAUAACAUUAACAAGAUGUAUUGCUGUGUUGAUCUGUCUUUUAUAUACAUAUAUAUGACAGAAAUAUAUACACAUACAAUACAUGCAUACAUACAUAAAACAUAUAUAAAAUAAAAUUUAUAUAAAACAAACCACCUACUAUAUAACAUGACUUUUACUCUUCUUUUCCCCUUGCUGUCAGCCUGCUGGUUACUGACUGCUAUUGCUUUUGGAGGGCCUACAAUAGCAGUUUAUAACUGCUACUAUUCUGCAUUUAAUUAAAUGAAAAAAAUGUAACUCUAAAGUCUGUUAAGGAACAUUGGAAAUACACCUUCCUUAGACUUUCCUCAGUAGCAGUUCUAAGCAUUCAUUCCAUCCACCCCUCUAUAAAUUAGAUAUCCCAGGAAAGGGACUGCCAAAGUGACAUUAAUUCAAAAAAGUCAACUGAAUAAAUCCCUCAUCAUUUAGCUAGGCCAAAUUUAGCCUUUUUUUUUUCUCUUAAAAAAGUUAAAAAUGGCGGCAUCCUCUUUCAACUUGGAUUAUAUAACUCCAGGGUCUCUGAAAUAUUACUGAGGAUCUACAAUGUGCUGAAACUUAAAAGAACACAAUAACAUGAUAUUUAGCAUCCAAUAUUAUAUGGAAGUUUAUUGGAUGAUAUUUAGCAUCCAAUAAACUUUUUUUUCCAAUAAAAGAAAAAGACACUAAGAAUCUGUAGUACAUGUCCUUUGAAGAGAAACAGAAAACAUAAAACAGAAAAUUGUCAGGUUGGUGCAAAAGUAAAUGCAGUUUUUGCCAUUAUUUUAAUUCAAAGCUUUUUUUAAUGGCAAAAACUGCAUUUACUUUUGCACCAACCUAAUUUAAUCCUCAAAAUAAUCAUUCUGAUUAUUAUAAUUUAAAGAAAAUUAAGAUACCAAUAUAUUUCUGAAGCACUGGCCCUGGCUUAUGCAUAAAAACCACCAAUAAUUGGCUGACACAAACCACAACAGUCAAAAUUUUCUCUGCUAAUUCUAUACAUUCCUGUUAAUAACUUUUUUAAUAAUAAACCCCAGACUCAAACAGGACUAGAAUAAUUUGGAAGCAAGCUCAAAUAAAGGUAUCUGGGAUACAUGUUAUAUGUUGGUAGCAUGGCCUUUGAUUUCAAGCUAUUAUCUCACACUCAGGAACAAAAGACUCUUGGACAGGAGUAACAAUCAUCAUUACUAAAGCUAACGUUUAUUAUGUAGCUAAAAUAUUUUGAGCACUGUGCUUAGUGCUUUGUACACUGGUAAUAUCACAAGCAUAAUAAAUAGCCAACACUAAAUGGUUUACAUAUAUUAACUCUUCGAGUCCUGAUAGCACUAUGAGGUAGGUGCUAUCAUUACUCCCAUCUUAGUAAUUAUGAAAACAAAGGAGAAAGUUUAAGUAAUUUGCCCUGAGUUAGAGAGGUUCUCUGAUGCCAGAACAUAAGUUCUUUACCAUGUAUCUCAUUUAAUCCUCAUAAAAAUCCUAUUAGGUAAAUAAAAGCACAUUUCAUUUUAUUGUGCUUCACUUUACUGUGCUUUGCAGAUAUUGCACUUUUUGCAAAUUGAAGGUCUGUGACAACCCCGUGUCCGGCAAGUCUAUUAGCACCAUUUUCCCAACAUGUGCUCACUUUGUGUCUCCGUAUCACAUUUUGGUAAUUCAUGCAAUAUCUCAACCUUCUUCAUUAUUAUCUGUUAUGGUGAUCUGUGAUCAGUGAUCUUUGAUGUUUUAAUUGUUUUGGGGCACCAUCAACCGUGCCCAAAUAAAACAGCGAACUUAAUCAAUAAAUGUUCUGACUGCUCCACCGACCAGCCGCUCCCCAUCUCUCUCCGUCGCCUCAGGCCUCCCUAUUCCAAGACACAAUAAUAUUGAAAUUAGGUCAGUUAAUAACCCUAAAAUGGCUUCUAAGUGUUCAAGUAAAAGAAAGAGUUGCAAGUCUCUCACUUUAAAUCAAAAGUUAGACAUGAUUAAGCUUAGUGAGGAAGGCAUGUCAAAAGUUCAGACAGGUGAAAAGCCGGGCCUCUUGCAUCGAAGUUCCUGAAGGAAACUUAAAGUGCUACUCCAGUGAACGCACGAAUGAUGAGAAAGUGAAACAGCCUUAAUGCUGUUUCAAAAACAGGUAAAAACACAAAAUUUAAGAUACCGGUUACCUUUGGGGAAGAAGGAUAACACAACACAGAAGAUGCUUCUUGAACUAUUAAGAUACUUCACUUGUUUGUGCUUAUAACAUUUCAGUGGUCUGAAAGUUUCAGUGGUUUGAACAGAAGAUCAAAGCACCCUCAUCAUUCCCUUAAGCCAAAGCCUAAUCCAGAGUAAGGCCUUAACUCUCUUCAAUUCUAUGAAGGCUGAGAGAGGUGAGAAAGCUGCAGAAGAAAAGUUUGAAGCUGGUUCAUGAGAUUUAAAGAAAGAAGCCAUCUCUAUAACAUAAAAGUGCAAGUGAAGCAGCAAGUGCUGAUGUAGAAGCUACAGAAAGUUAUCCAGAACACCUAGCUAAGAUCAUUGAUGAGAUGGCUACACUAAACAAUAGAUUUUCAGUGUAAUGAAACAGUCUUCUAUAGAAAGAAGAUGCCAUCUAGGACUUUCAGAGUUAGAAGGGAGAAGUCAGUGUUUGGCUUCAAAGCUUCAAAGGCCACAUUGACUCUUUUAUUAGGGGCUAAUGCAACUGGUAACCUUAAUUGACUUGAAGCCAAUGCUCAUUUACCAUUCUGAAAAUCCUAGGGCCCUUAAUAAUUAGGCUAAAUCUACUCUGUCUGUGCUCUGUAAAUGAAAUAACAAAGCCUGGAUGACAGCACACCUGUUUAAGGAUAGUUUGCUGAAUAUUUUAAGCCCACUGUUGAGACCUCUUGCUCAAAAAAAAAAUCCUUUUGAAAUAUUACUGCUCAUUGACAAUGCACUUGUCACCCAAGAGUGCUAAAGAAGAUAUACAAGAAGACUAAUGUUGUUUGCAGGUCUAUUAACACAAUAUCCACUCUGUAACCCAUCAAUCAAGAAAUAAUUUUAACUUUCAAGCCUGAUUAUUUAAGAAAUACAAUUUGUAAGGCUAUUGCUGUCAUAGACAGUGAUUCCUCUGAUAGACCUGGGCAAAGUAAAUUAAAAACCUUCUGGAAAGAAUGUACCAUUCUAGAUGUCAUUAAGAACAUCUGUGAUUCAUAAGGUCAAAAUAUCAAUACUAACAGGAGUUUGGAAUAAGUGGAUUCUAAUCCUAAUGGAUGACUUUGAGGGCUUCAAGAUUUCAAUGGUGGAUGUAACUGAAGAUGUGAUGGAAAGAGCAAGAAAACUAGAAUUAGAAGUGGAUCCUGAAGAUGUGAAUAAAUUGCUGUAAACUCAUGAUAAAACCUAAACAAAUUAGGAGUUACUUCUUGUAUGAGCAAAGAAAGUCAUUUCUUGAGAUGGAAUCUACACCUGGUGAAUAUGCUAUGUACACUGUUGAAAUGACAACAAAGGAUUUAGAAUAUUAUAUAAAUUUAAUUGAUAAAGCAGCAGCAGGUUUGAGAGGACUGACUUCAAUUUUGAAGGAAGUUCAACCGUAGGUAAAAUGCUAUCAAACAACAUCACAUGCUUCAGAGAAAUCUAUUAUGAAAGGAAGACUCAACUGAUACAGCAAACUUCAUUGUUCUUAAUUUAAGAAAUUGCAACAGCCACCCCAAACUUUAGUAACCAUCACCCUGAUCAGUCAGCAGCCAUCAGCACUGAGGCAAGACUCUCCACCAGCAAAAAGGUUACAGUGAAAGUUCAAAUGAUCACUAGCAUUUUCAGCAAUAAAGUAUUUUUAAAUUAAGGCAUGUAUAUUGUGCUUUUAGACAUAAUGCUAUUGCACACUUUAAACAGAAUAUAGUAUAAACGUAACUUUUAUGUGUACUGCAAAACCAAAACAUACAUAUGACACAGUUUAUUGUUAUAUUUGCUUUAUUGCAGUAGUCUGGAACCAAACCUACAAUAGCUCCAAGGUAUGCCUCUAUUAUCAGUAGUACUACUACCAUUACUUCAGUUUAGAGAAAUUAAGUAGCAUGUCUAGACACCCACUAGAAAGUGAUAAAGCCAGGAAUCAAAUCAUUAGUAUACUAUUAAAUGCCAUGGGUGACAGUACUGCUCUACAACCAAUGAUUAGCAUCAGUAUUAGUACAAAAUCUUCAGGGUCCCAAAGUUACACUAUUUAUCUCUUUUAACACAGACUUUAGCAAGUAUAUGUACAUAACAGGUCUGUAAUCAAACUAUUAAGAUUAACAAUACAAAAUAAAGGAACCUAUGAAGAUGAGUGCUAUUCAAGCCAAUCAUUCUCAAGGUUAAACUGUAAAUUUUUUGUUUGUAUCUUCUAGUCAUUUUUUGUCAACCUGUUUACACUGCUACAAUUUUGUACAAAGAAGACAUUUCCAUUUUAGGGGAUUCCAACUUCUAGUUAUAAAUUUCACUAACAAAGUUAUAAUUUUUCUUAAAUUUUAAUCUAGUACAGUUUCCAAGUAACUCUGAUAAAAAGUGAAUAUCAAUUUUAUUCAAAUCCAUAACAUAUUUGCAUUAAGUGACCUUUAAUUAUCAAUUACAAGGAUAUUAUAUUUCUCAAAUAACAAAAUCUAAAUAUUGAAAAUGUCUGUACCAAAUAAACUUAGCACCUAAAGUUUAUCCCCUUUGAAUUUCUAGGUCCUCAAAUUUUUUUAAAUUAUGUGCUUUUAUUUUUAACAACUUGGAACCAAUCAAGUAUAUAGGAUAACUGCUUAACAGCAAAUAUAAAAUCAUGUACAAGUAAAACUUUCGUCAAUAUAUAAUGCUUUAAUGAACACCUAUGUUUUAAAAAAAAGUUGUAGUCAGGCAAAUAUAUUACCAAAUUGAAAAUCCAAGGAAAACAUGUCUUUAUAGUCAAAUGUUUAAAUUCUAAAUAUGAGAAAUCUUACCUCUUUAAUAUUAAGGGGUCUUCCACUAAGAUCAUAUUUGUUCAUAGUUUCUAGGGCUUUCUUUACAAAUUCUUCAUCUUUGAAUUCAACCACACUUAAUAGGGAAAAAAUUUAUAGGAAAUGUUUAUGUGCUAAUUUUUUUCCAAAGUUUAAUUUGACUUAAGAUACUUAAAGAAAAAAU